rnacentral:lncRNA from 1 species
CAGUUAAUUGAGGACCACUUCAUUUUAGCACGGGGAAGAGACUCUCUCUGUGCCAGUUUAGAAAGUUUGGGGGGAGGAGGGGUUUUGAUCUGUGUCAUGGUGCAACUUUCUAUCAAGAAGUUUUCUCUACUUUCAUAUGAAAGUUUAAGAAACAUUUUAAGGCAGGAGUUUUUUUUUCCUCCUGCUCCAACAGCUUUUGGCCUCCAGGGUCUUGGCUUGUGAAGAGCACUCUUUGCAAUGCUAGUAGAGGUUAUUAAUGUGAAGGGCCAAUAAGAAAGGAGGAUGCAGAAAAGAAAUAGAAGAAUUCACCAUCUUUUUCUUCUUUCUCCCAGUAUGUCUUUGAAGCCCUUCUAAGCAUGGGAGAAAGGAGUAAAGCAGCAGUCCAAAUCAUGUAUGCGGCAUAUGCAGCAGAUGUAAUGCCUAUAAAUAAAGUGCAAGUGCUCUCACUGUAGACACCCAUUUGCAAAUAGCUCCUACAUUCCUUUCCAAUCUGCUACUCCCAACUUAGCCCCCAUUUAACAUGAAUCACUGCCAGGCCCACCUAUGACUCAAAUCAAUACACAGUGUUUCUCCUUUAUCCCUUCCAACCUUCCAUUCUGCUUUUCCCUCAUUAGUGCUAGAUGCUUCAGCUGCAGUGUUUACUGUGCCUGAUAAAGUAAAUUCAACUUGAGAAACAAGAGACUGAAGCAGAUGUCUCAGAACAAGGGCUUCAAUGAAAGUGGGAAUUUCUCUCGAAGUCCUCUGAGCACAUGCAGAACAGUCUUAAGAGUUGAAGAUAAAGCAGUACAUCACUAUCAUUAAAACAGCACAUCUAGUUUUAAAGUCAGAAUUGCUGGGAUUCAUUGGUAAAAUAAGAGCAACAUUUGAUCCUUCUACAUUUAUGCAUUUGCUCUGGUUGUAUGCAUGCAGGAGAGCAAGUGUCUGCCACUGGGCAUCAAGUAUGGAUAAUGGCAUCAGUUCCAAAAGGACCAUCUAGAAAACACAGGAAGCAAGAAGGUUAAGACAAAUGCAUCGGACAGUUACAAGGAUUCUACAAAAUAGCAGCCUUCAGCAAACAGCCUACAACAUGUUACAGAUGAGAAAGGAAACUAGAUGGCAAGCCUUUGGGCACAAGUGGGUCUUUGAACUAAGGUGUGCACACAGGCUUGUUAGCCUGGAAGCAACCAAGCAUGCUCAGUUCAGAUAGACUUCUUGGAAAGUGUUAUUUGCAAAACUUUAGCAAAUCCAGUUAGGUAAAAAAAAUCUCUUUAGUGGCUUACAACUUGAAUAGAAGACAACAUCAGUUUUCUGGUGUUUUCAUAGAGCACUAGGUGCUCAUCUAUA